GAGAGGUCGUUAAAACUGGUGUGUUUCUGCUGCGAUCCGCGCGAUAUUCCUAAGGACGCGUUUUGUUUCGUUUUGAUCAUUCGAAAUCGUUAUUGUCGUUUUUUAUUUAUUUAUUUUUUUUUUUUUUUUUAUUACUCUCGAAUGUCGUUUUGCGCUCGACUUGAGAACACCGUCGUCGGGGCUGUUGUUUUCAUUAUUAUUUUGUACGCCGAUCGUUGCCGGCAAAUCGUUACGCGGACGACGACGACGACGACGCCGUGCCCCCUAACCCCCGAAUAAUGCGGCGGAAAAUUUCCGAUUUCGACCGAGAGAGACAUCGUGUGUUCGAUUCGGACAUUUGUCGCCCCGCGAAAUCGGUGCCGUCACACCGUCAAAUCAAAGGCGUGUAAACAAUGACGAAUAAUAACGCGGCGGCACCGAGCGCCGAAAAUCGUUUGAAACCGUUAAUGCGUAUCGCGUGUACGUUUUAUCGUACGCGAAACACGUUUACCCGCGAUGUUAUCAUUUGUCGUUUGUUAUUAUCGUCCCGACAUUGACGUUGUCGUUUCGGGUGUGUGCUAUGGCGCGUAGAAAACAACAAUGCCGUCCGGUGCGUUAACGGG